GACUCUGUGGUUCAAUUGGCUAGAGCGUUCGGCUGAUAACCGCAAGGAUGGUGGUUCAAGCCCAUCCAGGGUCG
rnacentral:tRNA from 1 species